ACUAUGGCAAAGAAGGUCUUUGCCGCGUGCACGGGUGUUUCGCCAUGCAUUUUAAAGACAUAGUGGAAAUCACACCGUAUGCAAACUUGCGUUCGUUUUGGCCAUUUAGCACGGAGGAGCCUUUCCACCAUGCCGUUAAAUACUCCUUGUAACUCUCUUCCUGCAGUGAGACAUUCUGGUUGUAGCGUUUUUACUAAUAUAAAACUAUUAAAAAACUG
rnacentral:lncRNA from 1 species